rnacentral:misc_RNA from 1 species
ACUAUUUGCAAAUGUUGAAUCGAAAUUCAAUUCGAAUUGAAGGAUCAUUAUGCAAGUAAUAAAAUAUACAUAACAAAGGAACGAAAAAGCGUUCCAUCUGUCUUCUGCGUAUUUGCUCGUUAUUCUUCGACGAAAGUUUUAUUCGAAUAAUAGCCAGCUCUUCUGUCAGUAGGCAGUAAGAUUCGUUCAAGUGAUACAUGUCGAACUCGCAUGUGUCCUCUUCGUCCGUCGCUUUCACGUUUGCUCGCUCGGUGUCUCGUUGGGCGCAUUAUAGUCCUCUUCUAAACGCGGAACUUUCGACCUCUCAUUUGCUGGCGAAUAACGCAGCCAGUUUAGUUUAUGCUCGACUCUGUCGUCGUUCGGAUCAGUGGAGGGAUCAGUGUUUGUCGGUGAAGAAGACAACCGACUACGGGACGCGCGGGACUCACGAUAUCUUCGCGAAGAGUAACGUACGAAAACUGAUCACGAACAUCCGUUAGUUGCAUUCGGUCCGAUCCAGAAGGAUGACGAACGCAGAGAAUGCAGAAUCGAAAAGAAAUCCAGAUGGCGUGUCUAAUGCAUCGAACGAGAUUACUGAUCAGCGUCCUUUGAACGAGGACACGCAGGAUGUUCGACGGGUGGAGGAGAAUUCGAGUUCGGGCACUGAGGACAAUCCUUUGCUGGAAUCCGAUCGAAAGAACUCGUCGGUUAAAGUCGAUGUAUCGAUCGUAAAAUCGAAGAGGGAGGACGAGGAUCGAACGUCCAGGAAGGACCCGGAAGCUGACGAUCGCAACGUGAUCGUCCCGCCAGAUGGCGGACUCAGAGCGUGGAUGAUUAUGAUUGGCAGUUUCGUGAUUAAUGGGGUACUUUUCAGCGUCAUCAACACCUACUCGUUGAUUUAUCUGGAGCUGCAGAAAAGAUUACUAGAGUCUGGGGAAACUGCGGCGUCCUCUAAAGCGGCUUUGGUGGGAUCCCUAACGAUCGGUACAACGUUCUUUUUAUCGCCAAUUUCUGGUAUCCUCACUGAUAAAAUUGGUAUUCAGAUGACCACAUUCUUGGGCGGUGCUCUCGCGUCUAGUGGAAUGCUCCUCUCAUCAAUAUUUUCUAGCGAGGUGUCAUUGCUCUAUUUGACCUACGGAGUUAUGUACGGGCUUGGUGCGAGUCUCGCCUACACACCGAGUCUAGCCAUCUUGGGCCAUUAUUUUAAAAGAUAUCUGGGCUUGGUGAACGGAAUCGUUACUGCCGGGAGCUCCAUAUUCACCACCCUUAUGCCAUACCUCAUGGAAAUCAUACUUCGUCGCUUUGGUCUCGAAGGAACACUCAGAUUUUUGGCCAUGCUUACCACCAUCGUUAUGGCCUGCGCUAUACUGUUCAAACCCAUCCCUCUCAACUCUGUGUCCCGAGAUGAACUAAAGUCCAAAACGAGUUUCCAGAGCUGCCUCAAGCAAGUGAUUAACGUCUCCAUUUGGAGGAAGAAGCGAUACGUGGUGUGGGCUAGUUCCAUUCCCCUAGCAUUGUUUGGGUAUUUCGUGCCGUACGUUCACAUAGGAAAAUUCGUUGAGACGGUGUUCAAAGACGCCGAUGGGAAACUACCAAUCAUGUGCAUCGGUAUCACUUCCGGUAUCGGUCGAUUGGUCUUUGGAUAUAUCGCCGAUUUACCGAGAGUGAACAGAAUAUUGUUGCAACAGAUAUCUUUUCUUAGUAUCGGUGUCCUUACGAUGCUUCUUCCCGUUACACCCUCGUUCCUUGUGUUAUUACUAAUUUCCUUGGCUAUGGGACUAUUCGAUGGUUGUUUCAUUUCUCUUUUGGGACCCAUUGCAUUUGAUAUUUGCGGUCGGGAAGGCGCAACCCAAGCUAUCGGAUUUCUGUUGGGAAUGUGUUCUGUACCUCUAACCGUGGGCCCACCGAUUGCUGGUCUUCUGUAUGAUCACACAGGAACCUACGACCUGCCCUUCUUUUUGGCCGGCAUCCCGCCAAUAGUAGGCGCCCUAACGAUGUUCCUAAUAAAGUUCGUCAAGGAAGACGACCAAAGCUCCGUUCGAGGGAUCUCGGAGGAUAAAGCUGCCUGUCAGAAUGGUCGGUAAACAGGUAUUUGUGCAUCAUUCACAUCUAACUAACAGAGUUUGUUUCUCCAUGUGGUAUCGAAAACACGUGCGUGUCGGUUUGUAAACUCUAUUCACGAAGGCGGAAUGAAACUUUCCACGGAAAGUUGUACACAUAAAAUAUAAACACGAAUCCGUCCGCUGUCGAAGGGAGUGACAGAGCACCUUGCACUGCUUUGCUUGCUGGGAUACGCAUGCUUUUACCGAUAUUAACCCUUGAUAUCAUGGCGUAACACGAGUGUUACAUAAAUUCAACACAUUAUUAGGUUUUUUUAUGUACGUUCAAGGUUUACCUUCAUAUUACCAUGUGCUAAAAGUGCUUUUAGAACUAUUUAUACGAAAAUUUAUGCUCAAGAUGUAAUGUAUAGGGUGUCUAGUUUACAUUCAUUUAAAUAUUUAACAUAAAAUUUUACACAAAAGUUAUCUGAUUUUGUGGAAAAAGUUGAAGGAAGAUUUCUUCUAUGUAGACUUGUAGAAGAGAUAUGAAGGUUAUGUUUCAUCAACUUGAUAUUUUUUAUACAAGAUCAACUUCAUAUUCUUUGUACAAAAGUAUUAUGUCACAUCAAUUCUCAACAAAAUUGAGAAAAUUAAUGUUGAACUUGAAA